GCACUGCUGAGGAGUCCCACGACGGGACGAAACGGCCGUCCAGUGC
rnacentral:hammerhead_ribozyme from 1 species